rnacentral:rRNA from 1 species
AUUGAACGCUGGCGGCAUGCCUUACACAUGCAAGUCGAACGGCAGCACGGGAGCAAUCCUGGUGGCGAGUGGCGAACGGGUGAGUAAUAUAUCGGAACGUGCCCAGUCGUGGGGGAUAACGCAGCGAAAGCUGUGCUAAUACCGCAUACGAUCUCUGGAUGAAAGCGGGGGACUCGCAAGGGCCUCGCGCGAUUGGAGCGGCCGAUAUCAGAUUAGCUAGUUGGCGGGGUAAAGGCCCACCAAGGCGACGAUCUGUAGCUGGUCUGAGAGGACGACCAGCCACACUGGAACUGAGACACGGUCCAGACUCCUACGGGAGGCAGCAGUGGGAAUUUUGGACAAUGGCGCAAGCCUGAUCCAGCAAUGCCGCGUGCAGGAUGAAGGCCUUCGGUU